GCAAUAAUAGAUCGAAGACGAAGGCGAAAACGACAAAGAGAAAAAAAUUCAAAAGAACCCAGCGACAUCGGCGAAUUCGACGAAGAAGAAAGACCUCUCAAGAACCGAUCUCUCAAGAAGAGAGCCCUGAGUUUCAGCUUCAGCGAAGAAAUAUCUCAAGUUCUUGUGUUCUAUUAGCGUGCAUCAAGUUGGCAGUGUUCUAUUAGCGCGCAUCAAAGAAGACCACAUUAUUUCAAACCUGAGGGUCAAUAAGGGGUUUCAACUGGAAGGAUGCCCUGGUUAGCCUGCAGAGACAUGAACCUGCGAUACGUGGACUACUUAAGUAUUACUUAGCGAGUAGAUUUCGUAAAACAUUCAUGACCUGGCUUCUUGUGGUGUAGGUAGCUGGGCAGCGGACACAUACACUAGCCGGUACAUUUAUUUGUCUUCAAAUGAAGUGUUCCUGGCACUCCCCUACGUGCUAUGUAUUUGCUAAAUCUUGAAAAUGCUCCUAUCCAUGUUAGAUUUGUACUGAAGAAGACCACAGAGCCUGUCAAUCAAGGUGAUCCGCGCCACAGACCUUAUUGUCAACUGGACAUACCAAAGCUUUUUUCAACCCUGAGAUUCCACAAGGAAACACAUGGUCUUCCCUGCUCAUCUUGUUAUUGUUGAUGUAUUGACCACUGCAGACACUUGAACCUGAUCCAAAAUGAAGGGUGCAUUGGUGAGCAUUCAGACCCUCGGACGUGCACCCAUAGAUCUAAAUGAUAA